rnacentral:tRNA from 2 species
GCUCGCGUGGUGGAAUUGGUAGACACGCUGGUCUUAGAAGCCAGUGGGUUAUCCCUUCGCGGUUCGAGUCCGCGCGCGAGCACCA